rnacentral:lncRNA from 1 species
AGACAAGUGUGUGCUGCACUUUAACAACCUGGGGCUAUGGAUAACCUUGACAAGAACCUUUUCAGUGGAGUUAUGGGGAGGCAACCAGGUGAGUAUGUGCUGAAAAAUGAAGGUGAGAUGAAGAAGAGGAGACAGAGUGUGUGGACAAUUCUUCAGAAUUUUUUUUGUAAAGGACAACAGAGAAAUGAGGGGGAAGCUGAUGUGGCAUGUGGAGGUCAAGGUUUGGUUUCAGGACGAAAAAUUGUGAAUCGUUUGAGACUGGGCUCUAUCACCUUCAAACCUUCUGGAAACUAUGACUAUAAGGAUCUUCAAGCAGCAUGGGAGAGUAAGAGCACCACCUGCAGUACCUAAUAAAUUGUCCAGCCUAUGGGUUUCACCUUGCUCCCUUCCAGACUUUGUAGUUCCUAUUGCUAAAGAAGCAUCUGCAUUUCAGUUCUCUCACCUGCAAAAAAAAGAGGUAAAUAUUAACUUGCUUUCCAGGAUUUAUGGUUUCAUAAAUAAUAAAUCUAUGACCUUAGGGUUCCA